CUGAAACUUCGUGUUUCAACUGGACUUCAUCUGAGCUUAAUUAAAUAAGGGAAGAUCAAAGCCUACAAAUCUCCCUGAUCUAUAUCAACACGGCAAAUUAAAGGAAAAAACAUUCCCGUUCUUCAAGAUGAAUCACUGGUGGUGUGUUUUUGUGGGCAAAGUGAUCGCCUGAGCUACUCUGCAACAGCUACAGCACCACAGAUGGGACAAUUUGGCCUGCUGAGAUCUUGGAAGAGAUCUGACCCUGACCAAUGCAGAAUGGAAAGUGGGAAGCAGCACCAGAUCCACAGGCCCUGCAGAUGACUGGCUCCACCUCUAGGCGAAUGACAGUUCACUUUGCAGGAUGAUCUGCCCAUCAAUGUUUAUACUGUGUGGGGUUUUUUGGUUUUAUUUUUAAUUAUUUUGCAAAAAAAUCAAACCAGAAUGUUUUGUUACAUGGAUGGUUCUUUGUAACCAGCACAAUGCUGCUGUUACACAUAACUGGGGACAGUCUAUAAAACUCCCAUAUAUAUAUUUAUGCCUAACUGUGUUGGUAACGUCCCUUAAAAAAAAAAAAAAAAAAGUUGCUCACUACUGAGAAGAUCCUUUUUUUUUUUUUUUUAAUGACUAAAAUUGUUGUGCUUUUAUACCCAACACAUCUUUGUUUUUGAAUUCUCAGCUUACGAAGUGGAAAGGGGAACCUGGAUCAAAGAUUUAAAGCAUAAAGAAAUUAGUGCAAAAAAAGUAUCAUCAGGUUCUCAGAAACCAUUACCUGAUGUAUUCUAUUAUUUAGCUUUGUUUAACUGGAACUGAAGUUUUCACAGACUCAUGCAUGUUCUCUGAAUACAUUGUAGGAAAGAAAUGAAAUACUUAAUGACACAAUAAACAAAUUGCUCUGAGAAGCCUUGAGUUUCAUUUUGCUUUUAGUCAAGGAGCACUUGUUUGAUAAAUGGUGUGCUUUUAGAGGGCUUACAAUAGCCUGCACACAUGCGCAGAGACGUAGGAUGGCAGAAAAUUACCAGGAGAUAAUGGAGCAAGUCAAAUGAGAAAACAUGAUGAAACGGCAGAAAAUUUACAUGCUGUUUUGCUUCUUCCUUUUGCCUUAAUAAAACUGGGGCUGUCGUGUUUAUCGCCAAAUGAUACACUAUAAGUGUGUGCCACCGGAUGCACUUGUGUGGGUAAUGACCUGCACAGCCCCGCCAGCCCCAGGGGAGCGUGCUGACAUCUAAUGCCAUAAAAAAACUGCCUCAGU